rnacentral:rRNA from 1 species
AGUGAACGCUGGCGGUAGGCCUAACACAUGCAAGUCGAACGGCAGCACAGUAAGAGCUUGCUCUUACGGGUGGCGAGUGGCGGACGGGUGAGGAAUACAUCGGCAUCUACUUUUUCGUGGGGGAUAACGUAGGGAAACUUACGCUAAUACCGCAUACGACCUACGGGUGAAAGCAGGGGAUCUUCGGACCUUGCGCGAUUGAAUGAGCCGAUGUCGGAUUAGCUAGUUGGCGGGGUAAAGGCCCACCAAGGCGACGAUCCGUAGCUGGUCUGAGAGGAUGAUCAGCCACACUGGAACUGAGACACGGUCCAGACUCCUACGGGAGGCAGCAGUGGGGAAUAUUGGACAAUGGGCGCAAGCCUGAUCCAGCCAUACCGCGUGGGUGAAGAAGGCCUUCGGGUUGUAAAGCCCUGUUGUUGGGAAAGAAAAGCAGCAGGUGAAUACCCCGCUGUUCUGACGGUACCCAAAGAAUAAGCACCGGCUAACUUCGUG